UACGAAGGGUGCAAGCGUUAAUCGGAAUUACUGGGCGUAAAGCGCGCGUAGGUGGUUCAGCAAGUUGAAGGUGAAAUCCCCGGGCUCAACCUGGGAACUGCCUCCAAAACUACUGAGCUAGAGUACGGUAGAGGGUAGUGGAAUUUCCUGUGUAGCGGUGAAAUGCGUAGAUAUAGGAAGGAACACCAGUGGCGAAGGCGACUACCUGGACUGAUACUGACACUGAGGUGCGAAAGCGUGGGGAGCAAAC
rnacentral:rRNA from 1 species